CCCUUAGAUGUUCUGGGCCGCACGCGCGCUACAAUGAUGAAUUCAACGAGUUUAUAACCUUGGUUGAAAAGCCUGGGUAAUCUUUUGAACUUUCGUCGUGAUGGGGCUAGACCCUUGCAAUUAUUGGUCUCCAACGAGGAACUCCUAGUAAACGCAAGUCAUCAGCUUGCAUUGAUUACGUCCCUGCCCUUUGUACACACCGCCCGUCGCACCUACCGAUUGAAUGGUCCGGUGAAAUCUUCGGAUUGAGACUUUGAUUUCUUCACGGAAAACGCUGUUUUAAGAAGUUGAUUAAACCUUACCAUUUAGAGGAAGGUGAAGUCGUAACA
rnacentral:rRNA from 1 species